rnacentral:rRNA from 1 species
UACGAAGGGGGCUAGCGUUGCUCGGAAUCACUGGGCGUAAAGCGCACGUAGGCGGCUUUCUAAGUCAGGGGUGAAAUCCUGGAGCUCAACUCCAGAACUGCCUUUGAUACUGGAGAGCUUGAGUCCGGAAGAGGUGAGUGGAACUCCGAGUGUAGAGGUGAAAUUCGUAGAUAUUCGGAAGAACACCAGUGGCGAAGGCGGCUCACUGGUCCGGUACUGACGCUGAGGUGCGAAAAGUGUGGGGAGCAAACAGG